rnacentral:rRNA from 1 species
CCUACGGGUGGCAGCAGUGAGGAAUAUUGGUCAAUGGCCGGAAGGCUGAACCAGCCAUGCCGCGUGAAGGUCAGUGCCCUAUGGGCGUUAAACUUCUUUUAUAAAGGAAUAAAGUGAGGCACGUGUGCCUUUUUGUAUGUACUUUAUGAAUAAGGAUCGGCUAACUCCGUGCCAGCAGCCGCGGUAAUACGGAGGAUCCGAGCGUUAUCCGGAUUUAUUGGGUUUAAAGGGAGCGUAGAUGGGUUGUUAAGUCAGUUGUGAAAGUUUGCGGCUCAACCGUAAAAUUGCAAUUGAUACUGGCAGCCUUGAGUACAGUUGAGGUAGGCGGAAUUCGUGGUGUAGCGGUGAAAUGCUUAGAUAUCACGAAGAACUCCGAUUGCGAAGGCAGCCUACUAAACUGCCACUGACAUUGAUGCUCGAAAGUGUGGGUAUCAAACAGGAUUAGAUACCCCAGUAGUC